UAAUAGAACUUGUAUUGCAGUUGUGUUGUGCAGCUUUCGAUAUACAGCUCAAGGCUUUAUUUUAGGAUGCAAGCAAAUGAACCUCUGCCUUCCACGAGGAUGUAGUGCCUGUGCGUUAACAGCAGCUUAAGGGAAUGGAGAGGAAGAGGAGAAGAGAAUGAGCAGUGGCCACAGCAGCUGUUGCUCCGUGUGAUCGAGAACAGGGCCAGCAAAGUAAGACUCCCAGAUGUGGAACACUGUUGAGCACUGUGGGCCCAGGGUCCUGCCUAGCCUGUUUUCUUCUUACCUUUGCAGCCUUCACAGGCCCCUUCUCCUAUUUGAAAGUUUGUGUGACAAUAAAAAUGGGAGACCUGAGAGCCCACUACAGUCACACAAAGAACUGGUUAAAGGAAAUCAUACCUACUCCAGCUGGAUCUUCUCUACAUAACUGACCCGCUUGGCUUCAUCUGGUAUUGGACUGUUUACGUAACUUCAGUAAUUAACCACUAUCAGCCUCAUUAAUGAAACAUAAACCACCUCUUCUGCUCAUUUAUAAAGCACUUGUCAAACAAAACUUAAACAAAGGGCACAAUCUCAGCAAAGUAACAGCCCUUCAGAAGCUCCUGAAGCUCUGACUA